UACAGAGGUCCCAAGCGUUGUUCGGAUUCACUGGGCGUAAAGGGUGCGUAGGUGGCGAUUUAAGUCGGGUGUGAAAUCUCCGGGCUCAACCCGGAGGGUGCGCCCGAAACUGAGUUGCUAGAGGAUGGGAGGGGAGACUGGAAUUCUCGGUGUAGCAGUGAAAUGCGUAGAUAUCGAGAGGAACACCGGUGGCGAAGGCGAGUCUCUGGACCAUUCCUGACACUGAGGCACGAAAGCCGGGGGAGCAAACAGG
rnacentral:rRNA from 1 species